ACCAGAUCUUUUGAGAUUACGGCUUGAAACUUGCCAAGAAAUUCCCCAAGAGAAUAUUCGCCAUCUGAUCAGUAGCAGGACUAAUAGGAUCCUUGCAUUGAAAAAUGCAAAUGGUAUGUCACGCAGGUU